UCAAACUUGGUCAUUUAGAGGAAGUAAAAGUCGUAACAAGGUUUCCGUAGGUGAACCUGCGGAAGGAUCAUUACCGGCUCCGUCCCGACCCCGUCGGGACCUACACCACCGACCCGCACGUUCCCUCGCAGUCGCGGGGGUUCGUGGGGAGGUUACGGUUUACGUGUCCACCCCCUGUGAAACCUAUCUUUUUGCUUCGACAGCACCGAGCGGGUCACCGCGAGGGUAAGGCUGUCGGAAGCCUUCAGCAAAACCGUUUGAUGAAAUUUCGUGCUGUCUGAUACACAUCUCGGCCCGAGAAAUCGGGUAGAAUCAAUAUUAAAACUUUCAGCAACGGAUCUCUUGGUUCCCGCAUCGAUGAAGAACGCAGC
rnacentral:misc_RNA from 1 species